UACGGAGGAUCCGAGCGUUAUCCGGAUUUAUUGGGUUUAAAGGGAGCGUAGGCGGGUUGUUAAGUCAGUUGUGAAAGUUUGCGGCUCAACCGUAAAAUUGCAGUUGAUACUGGCAUCCUUGAGUACAGUAGAGGUAGGCGGAAUUCGUGGUGUAGCGGUGAAAUGCGUAGAUAUCAGGAGGAACACCGGCGGCGAAGGCGGCUUACUGGACUGUAACUGACGUUGAGGCUCGAAGGCGUGGGGAGCAAACAGG
rnacentral:rRNA from 1 species